UGGUGCGUCCGGCCAAAAGGCGGGCCUUGUAAGACGAAACUGCUGCUGAGGCUGAGGUGAGGAGGGCUUAAGGACUACAAGGUGGCCCUCUGGCCGGGCCUAAGAGAAGACAAUUACUCAAACUUGUUAACUUUCAUGAAGUAAACUGCCAAGUUAGAGAGGCUCACAUGGCAAAAACUGAGAGCUGACUCUGGCCAAUAGGCAAUGAGAAAACUGUGGUCCUCAGUCCAACAGUACGUGGGGAGCUGAAUGCUGCCAACAAUCAUCUGACAGACACUCUCUGCGUAGGAUCAUCAUGCCAAGCAUAAACUGGACUUUCCCACUUGCCUGGCAGGAGUCAGACAGAUCCCUGUGUGCUAAAUGAGCAUCUGAGAUGUCCUUGGCGUGUGCACCCCUAUGGAAUCCAGUUCAUCUCCAAUCUGUCAGAAAACAUCAGAGUUGGUUUUGACUCCUUAUGUCCUGGGCCUGUACACAAAAGGUACCUUGUGUGGAGGAAAAUGAGAUCCUGAGUGCAGUCUACAAUGUCAUUGACUCUGAAGAAGGACUCAGAGACCCAUUGGUGUUUAAUGACCCUUACUGGCCUAUGCAAUGGGAACUGGCCCUAAAAGUAAUUGAAAGCCAUAUUCUUGAAAUAAAUUUGGAUUAUAAUAUGUAAGGACUUAAGCACACAUGAAAACCACGACUUUGAUUUCACUCAAGAGAAAAAUUCCAGAUGAUACUUGCAGCAAAAUUAUGAAGACUGAAGGAGAGGUCCAAGAGAGAAAAAUUCAUUGAUUUCUUUGCUGGAGGACUCAGAUGCAGAGGGACCAGGCAAAACUUCAUUGCUUCCAGAAAGGGGCAGAAGCAAAGAAUCACCAUUCCCAGGAAAGAGGUUGGAAACUGGCUUGAACUCAGGAGCUUUACCAAGACCAAGCAGAAGCCGGCUUC